rnacentral:tmRNA from 1 species
GGGGCUGACCGGUUUUGACAGCGGGUAGAAGUGAUUUGUAAGCAUGCAGUGCGCCGUUAGUCUGCACUAUAAUCUCGGCUGGCAAAAAUUAAUUGGCGAAAAUUCUUACGCUCUCGCUGCUUAGUUGAAGAACAGUAAACUAAUGCUUAAUCCUUACGCAAGGCGUUUGGACGAGACAUCACCCGGAGCUGUGGCUUCGAAGCUGACCGAUAAGGUGGUGCAGAAAUAUCGGAGAUAGUUUGUCGGACGUCCCGUACGACAGAUAAAGUUUAAGGGACUAAGGUUGCAAUGGCUGGCUUCGAUCUUGUUGCAACACGAAAAUGAAAACGAAGAUAAGCAUGUAGAAAGCAAAUUAAUUCCUCGUUUGGACGAGAGUUCGAAUCUCUCCAGCUCCACAA